AUUGAACGCUGGCGGCAGGCCUAACACAUGCAAGUCGAGCGAGCGGCGGAUGCGUGAGUAAAGUCUGUGAAACUGUCUGAUGGAGGGGGAUAACACCUGGGAACGGUAGCUAAUACCGCAUAUCACCAGAUGUGCCCAGAGGGGAGUAGCUAGUAGGUGGGGUAAUGGCUCACCAAGGCGACGAUCCCUAGCUGGUCUGAGAGGAUGACCAGCCACACUGGAACUGAGACACGGUCCAGACUCCUAUGGGAGGCAGCAGUGGGGAAUAUUGCACAAUGGGCGCAAGCCUGAUGCAGCCAUGCCGCGUGUGUGAAGAAGGCCUUCGGGUUGUAAAGCACUUUCAGCGGGGAGGCGUUACCCGCAGAAGAAGCACCGGCUAACUCCGUGCCAGCAGCCGCGGUAAUAC
rnacentral:rRNA from 1 species